CCAGAAUCACCCUUGACUGCUCUGGCUUAGUGCCACCUUCCUAGGCAGGAUUAACCCUCUGGUCCGGCGUCUGGCCUUGAAUCCACGGGCAGUGGACCCCAAGCCAAUGGCAGAAGACGGAGCCUGCAGCAGCACAGGAAAACGAUUGCUCCUCCAAGACGGGUUUCCUAAUCAUCCAGCCUUCAGAAGCCAGCAUGAAAUUGACAUGACUUCCUCAAAACAGUUCAACAGAGAACAUCUUAGUCCUAAAGCCUAGAUUUCUCAGGGGCAUCUGAGCACUCAAGUGUCCACUCCUGCCACUCUCCCAGCCCCAGAUGCCGGACAUACAUUCCAAUGAAGGGGACCCUACAAGGGGACCAGGGUCAUUAAGCAGGUCAGGGAGUCUGACUCCUUUGAGGGUCUAGAAGUUCUGGGCAUUAAAACCCAAAGACAUUGUACAAGGACAUAGGCUUGACCCACUGUGUGAAAGGACAAAGUAUAGGAAAAUCAGGUAUGUUCUAGUGUCUUUUGAGUGCUUACUGUGGGACAGGCUUUGGCUCAACACUUCAUGUACAUUGUUUUGUUUGACCUUGAGCCCUGUGAGACAGAUCUUACGAUCCUCAUUCUACAGAGGAGGAAGUUGCGAUGGAGAGCUAAAGUGACUUGUCCAAGGGUAUACAGCUAGAAAAACUAGGACUGAGCCCAACACUGUUUACUAUUACACUAAUGUCUCCCCUACUGACAAUAAGAAGUAAAGUUGAGGAAGUUCAAUAAGCAGUAGUGGACAUCACUCUGGACCUAAGGACUAAAUAUACAGCUAUGAAUCCUAGUUCUUCCAAGUAUUAGCUUGGUGACCUUGGCCAAGUCAUUUGACUUCUUUAAGAGACAUAGACUGAGCUAUAAAGAGGAGCACCUCUACCUCUCAGUAUAGGGUGUAAAGGGAUAAUGUACAUGAAGUGUUUAGCAUCAAUGCCUGACAUAUAAUUAGUUCUUAGUAAAUAUCAGUUACUAUUAUUGUUAUCACUAUGACUACUACCACCAUCAUCCCACCAGGCUCAAGUGAGAUAAAGACUGGAAAGCUCUGUGUGUUCUGCACCUGUCAGUAAUCCCCUUUAUUACAAUUAUAGCAACCUAAGGGAAGGAGUUAUUUGUGAAGCUCUGGCCCCAUUCCUCCCCCAAAUGGUUCAAAUUCUUUGCUCUACAGCCAACACUGAUGACGAGCGAGGAUUUGAAUUGGUGCCCACUGUGAUGACGUCCUUCAGUAGAUCUUCAAGAACUGCAUAGAAUGCUUUCCUGAGCUUAUUUUUAGCAUCAGAAGGACUUUGAAGCAAGACUUCAACGUUGAGCUUCAUUGUUUGGGGAAGGCACUUUGCAAUUAAUGUGUUUGCGGCUUAGGACUUUCUCUCCUUCAUCAUCUUAAAAAGAGAUACCACGGAGGCAGAUCAAGGAUGUGGCUGGCAGAUAUAUCUUCAAAUCCACAUGAAUUCCACUGUUGGUUAUUCCUGACUAUUGAAGUCAUAUGUGCUCACUGUAAAAAAAAAAAUUGGCAAAUGCAAAAAAGUGCAAAAGAGAAAAAAAAUUAAAUGCCAAUAAUAUAAUUAUUCAGAGACAAAGAUUGUUAAUGUUUUGAUGUAUUUCCUUUUGGCCUUUCAUUUUAUACAUAUAUUCAUAUAUUGUUUUACAUAUUUGGGAUCACGGUAUAAAUAGUAAUGUAACUUAUUUCCUUUCAUAAGACAAUUUUUAUAGAGCAGUUUUAAGUUCACAGCAAAAUUGAGAGGGAAGUACAGAGAUUUUCCAUGUACCCCCUGUCUCUCCAUUAUUAAUACCCCCUGCUAGAGUGGUACAUUUGUUACAGGUAAUGAACCUACAUUGACACAUCAUAUCACUCAAGGUCCAUAGUUUACUUUAUGGUUCACUUUUGGUAUUGAACAUUCUGUGGGUUUAGAGAAAUGUAUAAUGACAUGUAUCCGUCAUCACAAUAUCAUUCAGAGUAUUUCCAUGGCCCUAAAUAUCUUCUGUGCCCACCUACUCAUCCCCUUCCUUCCUCUUGCAAGCCCUGGCAACUACUGAUCUUUUUACUGUCUCCGUAAUUUUGCCUUUUUCAGAAUGUGACAUAGCUGGAAUCGUACAGUACAUAGGCCUCUCAGAUUGGCUUCUUUCACUGAGUAAUACACCUUUAAGAUUCUUUCAGGUCUUGAGAACUCAUUUCUUUUUAGUUCUGGAUAACAUUCUGUCUGGGUGUGCCAUGAUUUAUUUAUCCACUCACCUACACAAGGACAUCUUGGCUGUUUCUAAGUUUUGACAAGU